rnacentral:rRNA from 1 species
ACUGGUAUGAAUGAGCUAAUUAGGGGUGUGCUUUUUUGUAAGUACUAUUAUAAUUUGAUUAUCAAGUAAAAAGGCUUGGUUAUUACAAAGUGACAAGAAGACCCUAAGAGUUUUAUUAUGUUAUAUUUUUAUUGUAGCUAUACGGAUGUUAAGAGAUUAAAAUAUAAGUUAAUUUAGCUGGGGCGGUUGGAAUUAUAUCUAUUUUGUUAAGUACUUAUAAUAACAGGAUUAUAUUAAUAUAUAUCCUUUGUUGGAAUACAAAAUAAAUUACCUUAGGGAUAACAGCAUAAUCUUUUUUGAGAGAUCUUAUUGACAAAAAGGUUUGUGACCUCGAUGUUGGAUUUGAAUAACUUUUAGGAGCAGUAUUUAUAAAAGUUGGUCUGUUCGACCAUUAAAUUUC